rnacentral:rRNA from 1 species
AUACGGGAGGCAGCAGUGAGGAAUAUUGGUCAAUGGGCGCAAGCCUGAACCAGCCAUCCCGCGUGAAGGAUGACGGCCCUAUGGGUUGUAAACUUCUUUUAUACACCAAGAAAAAGCAGGACGUGUCCUGCCCCGACGGUAGUGUAUGAAUAAGCAUCGGCUAACUCCGUGCCAGCAGCCGCGGUAAUACGGAGGAUGCAAGCGUUAUCCGGAUUCAUUGGGUUUAAAGGGUGCGUAGGCGGCUUUUUAAGUCAGUGGUGAAAUCCUGCCGCUUAACGGUAGAAUUGCCAUUGAUACUGAAAAGCUUGAGUACAAUUGAGGUAAGCGGAAUGUGUAGUGUAGCGGUGAAAUGCUUAGAUAUUACACAGAACACCAAUUGCGAAGGCAGCUUACUAAACUGUUACUGACGCUGAUGCACGAAAGCGUGGGGAGCGAACAGGAUUAGAUACCCCGGU